CCUCAUCACACCGCAACCCCUCGCAUGGACUUUGAACUACUUUGAAGCAACUGAACGCAAAUUUCUAAAUCAGCUUAUCCACCCAUUUCCUUCCUAAUUCAGUCUCCGUCAGAUCGUUGUCUUAACCAGAGGCAAUCAUCCUUCGACUGUGUUCUGCGGCAGUAAUUGUCUUUCCGAUCACCGGUUUUCAGCUAAUUAUCUUAGUGAUAUUCCGAAGAAGAACUCGAUAUCCAGUGCGUAAGAAUUUUAAUUGGAAGCAGCGUUUUAAGCUUGGUUAUUUGUCAAGAAAGUUUUUCAUCGCCAUAACCUUUACGUUUCCGUUUCGACCCCCCUCCGCGUUUGACUGUCGUUACUUUACAUCAAUUUAAAUUUCCCCAGUGAAAUUUCCAGUGUGAAAAUUUUAUUUUGAACUCUUUAAAAUUUUUCUGGCUUUUAGUUAAGUUCCUAUCUGAACAAGCGCCAACCGAAAACUUUUUACUGUGUUUCUUGCAGUCUCUAAAAUUCGCCAUACUGCGGAGGGCUUCGUUUUUCAGUGCGUGUGAUCUGAAUUACGCAGAUUCGUCGGCGGUUAAUUAAUGUUUUACAAAUUCUUCAAAGUACGAGUCGAUCUCUUUUCCCUUCUCCCGCGUUCAAGUCUCUCAAUCUGCAAAGCUCGAUAAAGCUUCUCCCAACGGCCGGUUUCCAGUGGCCUGUUCUUGUAGAGUUCCAGCUUCUGUGACUGUCACUUCUACUCGCUACGCUCCAUCAAAAUGUUCUCCCAUAGAGAGGAGUAUCCUUAUUCGCAUUACUAUGAUUACGAGCCAUUCAUACGGGCCGUCGAGAAAUUCCCUCAAUUAUACAAUAGGAAACACCCGCUUUAUUGGAAAAUUCGCGGAUAUCCUGCAAGGAGAAGCACAUGGGAAGAUGUUGGAAGAAUGUGUAACUUUCGACGUAUCGAUGCGUCCAAUAUCCAGACUAUUUGGGAAACUCUGAGAAACUCUUACACAAGUUAUCGCCUACGGAAAAGAGAAAAUGAAUUACUGGGGAAACCUCCACCGACGUGGAAGUACGCUGAAGCCAUGUCGUUUUUGGAACCUUACCUGAUGCAUAAAAAGAGGAAAAAUCCGGAAGUCCAGAACACAAACGCCGCGGAAGGACAAAAUAUUCUUUCAAACAAACCUGAUACGAACGCCGACCUUCCUUCCAAUCCUGCUACCUGCGACAAAUCAAACAAACCUGGUUCGAACAUCUACCACGUCUCCAGUCCUUGUCCCUGCGACAAACAUCGCUCCUGCAACAAUGGCGGCUUACCCACCCCCUCGGAUUCAUCCGUGACGAUUUCUUCGGUGGACGCAGACGACACGGAUGAAAGUAUCUCUCUUUCACCAUUCUGCAUGGCCGACGCUGAUUCGGUGAAAAGACAGAUGUUAGAGCUGCCUCAGACGCAAGAUGAGCCACCUCCAGCGCAACGAGUAAAGUUGGAACCAUCGGAAGACCAAACAAUGAGCCAUGGAUCUCCACCGACUCAAUCAAUGACGUCGGAGUCUUUCGCGACGGAACAAGCGAGUCAGAUGUCGCCUGUAGAGAACCGACCGAGAGUAUCGCCUAUUAUGGAAGAAGUGACGGUGAACUCACACAUGAUGCAACAACUGGGUCAUAAGUCAACACUAACUCAACGGGUGAGUCAUAAGCUAUCACUGGCUCAACCAUUGAGUCAGGAAACACCAUUGAUUCAACGAGUGAGCCAUGAGCCAUCACUGACUCAGCCAUCGAGCCAGGAAUCACCAUUGAUUCAACGAGUGAGGAAUGAGUCAUCGCGUGAGUCAUCACUGAUGACUCAACCAUUGAACCAGGAAUCACUUCGGAUCCAACUGGCUCAACCACUGGUUCAGGAGUCACCAAAGAUCCAAAGAGCGAGUCGCGAGGCACUACCGAUACAGCAAGUAACAUUAGAGUCAUCUUGGUCAGAGCAAGUCAACUCGCAGUCACUUCCCAGGGAGCGCACGAGACAAGAGUCGACGUCUUUCGAAGGAGUGAUGUCCUCAACGACCCAGCAAGUUAGUCACGAGUCUUCGCAAAUCGGCAAUACGACACUUCCCAGGCGUAAGGUGAGUUUGGAGCCGUUCCCAAGGGAGGGAUUGAGAUCAGAAUCAUCCCCGGAUGCUCUAGCCCUGUUUUUUGUAGCUACCGAGGCGACUGUCCGCCGACUAAGUCCUAUCUUGCAAAUCCAGGCGAAAGCCAAAAUCAGCGCUCUCAUGGCAGAGCUAGAGAUGAAGUCCUUCUUCCCGGACGGUUGAAUCAAAUAUUCUUGUCAAUAUCCCUCUUUCUCCUCCAAAUCUUCCUCCGCCUUUUCCUCCCCCUCCUCCUCCCUCCCUCUCUCCCCCUUUUCUGAUCUUCCUUCUAUUCCUUCCCUCUGUUCCUUAUACUCUUCCUCCUAUUUCUCCUUUUACUCCCCUUUUUUCCCACUCCUUCUUCCUCCCCCUCCUCUUUCUGUACCUCUUCUUUUUCUCUCUCUCUCCUCCUUCCCUCCAAUCACGCGGGCUUCGAGUACCACAUGGCGUAAUGCUUGUAAAUUGUCACAAAUUACCUUUGAUAAGUUGUGAAUAUGAUAUUCUGACAAUGAGACCUGCAUUUCAUGUUCCUUUUUUUUGUGUAACAUUUAAAUCUAAAGAAUUUACGAAUAUUGAAUUGUGCCUCAGCUAAAAAUCUCCCGGGGCCUUUUUGUUCCUUUAAGUUUUUUUUCCAACUGUAUGUAAUCCAGUUGAUGAGAAUUAUUUAACUUAUUUCGUUUCUUAUUUAAGUUUUAUUUUGACAUGAGUUUUAUGCGUUAGAGCUUAAGUUUUAGCAUGGUUGUUCUUAUAAUUUACCAUUUUCUGGUGACAACAGUUUGUCACAUAAUGUAGUGAUAUCAAUGUGACUAAGGAUUAAAUUUUGACAACACAAACUUGUAAAGUUAUUCAUUCAAAACUAAGUUAUAUUUUAUAAUAUCUUCAGCCUUAAUUUCAUUUUGUAUUUUAAUUUGAGUCCUUGAUUUUCUGUGACUGAGAUUGUUGUUUUGCAGGUGUUACUUCAAAUGAUAUUUCCUCAUUUCAUUUUAAGUAAAUUUCGCUAAAUUAUAGUUAAAAUAUUAGCUAUUUUUUCAAAAGAUGAUUUUGUUUUGUACUUAUAUUUUGAUACCAAUAAUGUGAUUCGCGUGUAGUUAUACUGAACUUAUGUGAUUGACAAUGUGCAACUUGAUGCAUAGGAUAAACUUGACUGAUUAUUGAUUAAUCUUCUAAUACUUUUUGUAAAAUAAGUGUUUAAAAUAUUUCUUUCUUUCAAAGAUACACGUUAUUUGCUCGAAAAAUAGUUCACUUAAUCAAUAAACUGCUGAGACGAGAAGAAUUUUAAUUCAUAAUGUAAGCAUUUCCUUUCUGAUUAAUAUCCUUAAAGCAUACUCUGCUUACAGCGAAAAGUAUUAUGCCAAAGUUAUUCAUGCGGUCUAGUGCGUCAAAUCCAUGGUUGUAGUCGAAAAAUUCGUAUCUUUAAUUUAGACUUUGCAAAUCUCCGUUCAUAUUUUAGCUUCUUUAAACAAAAUUAACAACUGCCACAUUUUUUGGAAAUAUUCCGCAACUUGUCUCAACUCGUUCAGAAAUAUUCAUGUAAGCAUUCAAAGAGUUAUUUUGGUUUUUAAUCUUAAAAAAAAAAAUAGACAUGAUUGAGGAUUUUUCAAUGUUCCGAUAAAGAUACGUAUUUUUUGAGUUAAGCCAUCGGUAUUUUGAUCCGAUCAACUAUAUAUUUCUUGAUUAAAAUUAGGAGAUAAAAGGUUUAGGAAAAAAUCACAACAUUCGACCGCACGUAUAGCUAUAGCAAACGAGCCAGUAAAUUGAUCAUAAAAUUUAUGUAAUUUUUUUCUGUUUUCCCCCUCUUAGUAUGCCUUUAAUUAUUCAGCCGGCCACCUUCCUAGCAUCUAUUGAAAUCGUGUUUAGAUCAUUUAUCUCAUAGAUUUGAUGCAAUAUAAGGAGAAAACCCUGCAAGAUUUUCAAAGAGUAAAAUUGAAUAAUUGCAUUUCCCAAAAACGUAAAGUAGUGGUAGAAAUUUUGAAAUUUACGGGUAUCGACUCCUGAAAGAGAUAUUGACAAAUCCCCCCCCCCCCCCCAACACAGAGCUAGUAACAGUGAGAUCAUGCGAGUGACUGCAUUUGUAUUUUUGCUUGCCGCUUAAACAAUGCUUAUUUUAAACAUUUGUGCCUAUCUUGUCUAGGAGUUUGUUUCCAUUUCGACUCAUAGGAUCUAUUUUUGCCUAACCGCCCAAUUGAAGGCUAUAAUCAAUGUCCGUUGUCUUCCGCAGAGGUUCCGAUCGAACGAAGAGCUGUGGCCUCCUUCUCCGUCACUUGAUCGAAAACAGAUAAUGCGCUUUGGCAAUGAUAUUUUUAUUGUUUAUUGGGAUUCUCACAAUUAUCAUAGGAUUUUACAUUACGGCGACUUUACUUAAAAAAUCAUAUGCAACUUUUAUACAUGCACAUUGCCGACUUAAAAAUUUAUCGGAUUAGCUACAAAUUAACACGGCUGGCUGUUUUGUAAAAUCCUUGUGGAUAAAUCUGGUGCAUCGCGAAAAGAUGUUUUUCUUUACAUUCGUAUUUUGUACCUAAUGACGCAUAAUUUUUUCACUAAAAUUUUCCCAUGGUGGUUUUCAAGGUCGCGUUGCAUACACGGAAAAAUUUCAUUCCUUGAAGAGAGGAAAUUGAAAUCCAGGUAAGCGCACACGAGUGAAAAAAUUCAGAUGCCUCUCAUGAGUGAAAAAAUCAAAAGCAUAGGUGCUAUAGAAAACAACUAUUCAAAAAUGCAAAGCUAUCGUUGGUCACAGGAAAUGUCUAUAUAUCUGCCUCUACGUAUUUUUAACCUGAGUCGAGCCAGGCCUCAAGAGUCUUGUGUCUACUACAUGUUAUAGUAAAUCUUUCGUUUUAAGGACAGAAUUUCGGUCCAUACAGAUCACUAUAUUUUUCGGUCCAGAUAAUCGAAUUUUUCAGUCAUAUAGAAACUGAACCUCCGUUCCGAUGACCGCGUUUUUCAGUAAAGAACACGAGUCAUUGUACCAACGUCUAACAAAAACUUUGGUUGGCUGAGAAGUCCGGUUACCUGGAUCGAAACUUUUGGUGUCCUUUGAACCGAAAGGCAUCCUUCCAUGCGCUGGGAGCGGUAUAUUUGUUUGAAAGAAAAGUUUUUAUGAAGUUUAAAGCGAUUAUGCCCGAAUAAAAGCACGUUCCAUCGCUCUCUUAAACGAAAAUUGUCAAGCAACGGUAUGUUCAUGGUUGUAGGAAGAAAGCCUCAAAGGGGGAGGGGGGGGGGCUCGUAAACAACCCCCCCUCCCACACCGACUUCUGUGGAUGUAAAUGUGCCUUCCUUCCCGCUCCUCCAAAAAAAAAAAAAAAAAAAAAAAAAUAUGCCAAGGGUGAGCUAAAAUCAUCUCUCUCUUGCAAAUUACCCUGGCUCAUAUUGAAAUCGACGAAUGGAAUGGAAGAAGAUUUGGCAAUUGAAUAAUUACAAGUACAAUGCAAUUCACAAAGCAAGAACUGCGAGGCACACUGGCGGAAAAUUAUUCAAGAGUUUAUAUAUCAAUGAUAUUUUCCUUAUCAAUUAUAUUCCUCUUAAACUCCUUUAAGUGUUUACUGCUAUUGCAUCUACUAAGCCGAUAAAUCAUUUUAUCAAGAAAAAACUUAAGAUACAAUUAUUAAGAUGCAAUUAUUUCUCCCAACUAAUGCGCCUAAUUAGUGUCUAUGAACUCUACUAUCUGGUGAGAGGAUAGAUUUAUUCCCGAGUUUUCAGUCGAUUCGCAUAACACUUUCAGUGCUAGUUUCAACUUGGCAGCCUUUCAUUGUCUUUCUAAACAAACGCGUGAUUCAUUUAACGUCACUUUUACUUUUGUUU
rnacentral:lncRNA from 1 species